UAGGCUGAUGGGUGGGUGAAUGAAUCUGCGUCUAUCUGUUGGGAAAAAUUCUAAAAUGCAAUAGGUAUAUUAAUGGCGUGGUGAUGCGACCUCAACUUUCCUUUUUAAUAGUUUUCUUUUAAUAAACAAGUUCAAAUUUAAAUAUCUUGUUAUUUAGGAAUAUAUUUAGGAAUAGGCAGUUAUUUUGUUUGGGAAUAUAUUUAUUAGGUAUGAUUAGGAGUAGUUUAAGGAUUUGGACUCUAUAUAAUGUUAUCCGGAAUUACAAGAAAUAAGAAAGUAAUAUUGUCUCUUUUUCCUCAUAUCUUGUCUUCUCUUUCUACCUCUUCUCUCUACUUCUUUACUUCUCAAUUCUUUAGGAGGUUCGAUCCCCUCGAAGUGAUCGUUUAUCCCUAUUGAUACGGUAGGACCGUAUCAUUUGGUAUCAGAGCUUGUAUGGUCCUGACUCGAGCCAAAAAAGAAUCCUUACGAAAGAUGGACGGGGAGUUUGUACGACGGGAGGAAAUGAACAAUAUUGAUACUCGAUUGAACAAACUGGAGACCGAGGUAAGAUCCAUUAGCGAUUCUAUUAACGAUCUUAAAAAUUUAAUUAUCGCUAUGAAUACAAAGAUAGAUGUGCGACCGCAAGCACCGUCCGAAAAUACAUCCGCCGCAAGUUCCGAUAAAAGUCGUCCCCUUCUUCCUACUCCGUUCAAGGAAGGAACAUUGAUUCCUACUAUGGAGAACUCUAUGAUGGUGAUACCUCGUGUCACAAGACUGGAGUUUCCCCGAUUUGAGGGCGAGGAUCCAACUGGAUGGGUGUAUCGAGCAGAGCAAUUCUUUAAAUUUAAUCAAAUACUGGACGCGCAAAAAGUUCCACUUGCAUCGUACCAUAUGGAGAAGGAAGCAUUGCAAUGGUUUCAAUGGUUUGAGAAAAGCAGUGGAGUUGUAGCGUGGACAAAUUUCGUAGAAGCACUCUGCACUCGUUUUGGUCCAACCAUGUAUGAAGAUUAUAUGGGUGAAUUAUCAAAAUUACAACAAGGACCUACUCAGAGUGUUCGUGACUAUCAAGCUCGAUUCGAAAUGCUAGCCAAUCGCACUUCAGGACUAACUGAGGCAUUUUUCAUAAGUUGCUUCGUUAGUGGGCUGAGGGAGGACCUAAAGCAUGAUGUCCGAGCCUUCCGACCAACUUCUAUGUCAGCAGCCAUCGGUCUUGCUCGUCUACAAGAGGAAAAGUUGAUAGCUCAACAUCGUAUUAUAAAUUCUAAGCCUUCUCUUUUGUCUGCCUCUACAACACCAAUGUCUAAUGAGACGCUUCCACCUAUAAAGCGCCUCACACCGGCUGAAGCGAAAGUAAGAAGAGAUCAAGGCCUUUGCUACAAUUGUAAUGAAAAAUAUAGACCCGGACAUCGAUGCAAAUCAAAGCAACUAUUUUUAAUCGAGGCCGAACAUGAUGAAAAUAGAGAAGAUGAUAUAAAAGGAUUAGACAAGCUUGAGGAUUUUCCACCUUGAGGACAAGGUGGCUUUCGAGGGCGGAGGAGAUGAUGCGACCCCAACUUUCCUUUUUAAUAGUUUCCUUUUAAUAAACAAGUUCAAAUUUAAAUAUCUUGUUAUUUAGGAAUAUAUUUAGGAAUAGGCAGUUAUCUUGUUUGGGAAUAUAUUUAUUAGGUAUGAUUAGGAGUAGUUUAAGGAUUUGGACUCUAUAUAAUGUUACCCGGAAUUACAAGAAAUAAGAAAGUAAUAUUGUCUCUUUCUCCUCAUAUCUUGUCUUCUCUUUCUACCUCUUCUCUCUACUUUUUUACUUCUCAAUUCUUUAGGAGGUUCGAUCCCCUCGAAGUGAUCGUUUAUCCCUAUUGAUACGGUAGGACCGUAUCACGUGGCAUAACAAACCAAUCAAAUUAAUUUUUUUAAGAAUAUAUGUACCAUCAUGAUUGUAAAAAGGUAUUUUUAUUAUACUUUUGUUUGAAAAGAAAAAAUGUGAUUGACUUGUUAUUGAUGACGUAGUGCAAGUGUGUGUAGAAUUCCUCGUCUGUUGGGUUGGUUU
rnacentral:lncRNA from 1 species